rnacentral:rRNA from 1 species
UACAGAGGGGGCAAGCGUUGUUCGGAAUUACUGGGCGUAAAGGGCGCGUAGGCGGCCUGUUAAGUCGAACGUGAAAUCCCCGGGCUCAACCCGGGAACUGCGUCCGAUACUGGCAGGCUUGAAUUCGGGAGAGGGAUGUGGAAUUCCAGGUGUAGCGGUGAAAUGCGUAGAUAUCGGAAGGAACAUCAGUGGCGAAGGCGGAACUCUGGGCCGGAACUGACGCUGAGGAGCGAAAGCGUGGGGAGCGAACAGG